AUGAACGCUAGCGGCAGGCUUAACACAUGCAAGUCGAGGGCGAGCAUACCCGGUGACGGGUGAUGGCGACCGGCGGAAGGGUGAGUAACGCGUGAGCAACAUACCCGUAUCAGUGGGAUAAUACAGGGAAACUUGUUCUAAUAUCACAUAAUAUUAUUCAGAGGCAUCUUUGGAUAUUAAAGUUCAGGCGGAUACGGAAUGGCUCGCGUGACAUUAGCUAGAUGGUAGGGUAAAGGCCUACCAUGGCUAUGAUGUCUAGGGGUUCUGAGAGGGAGGUCCCCCACACUGGAACUGAGACACGGUCCAGACUCCUACGGGAGGCAGCAGUGAGGAAUAUUGGACAAUGGAUGAAAAUCUGAUCCAGCCAUGCCGCGUGCAGGAAGGCGGCCCUAUGGGUUGUAAACUGCUUUUGUACGGGAGCAAUAAGGUCUACGAGUAGAUUGAUGAGAGUACUGUACGAAUAAGCAUCGGCUAACUCCGUG
rnacentral:rRNA from 1 species